CCUACGGGUGGCAGCAGUGGGGAAUAUUGCACAAUGGGGGAAACCCUGAUGCAGCGACGCCGCGCGAAGGAAGAAGGUUUUCGGUAUGUAAACUUCUAUCAGCAGGGAAGAAAAUGACGGUACCUGACUAAGAAGCCCCGGCUACCUACGUGCCAGCAGCCGCCGGAAUACGGAGGGCGCACGCGUUAUCCGGAUUUACUGGGUGUAACGGGAGCGUAGGCGGUUUAGCAAGGCACGAGUGAAAGCGCGGGGCUCAAAGACGGGACUGCUUUUGACACUGGUGAACUAGAUUGCAGGAGAGGUAAGUGGAAUUCCUAGUGUAGCGGUGAAAUGCGUAGAUAUCAGGAGGAACACCAGUGGCGAAGGCGGCUUACUGGACUGUAAAUGACGCUGAGGCUCGAAAGCGUGGGGAGCAAACAGGAUUAGAUACCCUUGUAGUC
rnacentral:rRNA from 1 species